UACGAAGGGGGCUAGCGUUGCUCGGAAUUACUGGGCGUAAAGCGCACGUAGGCGGAUUGCUAAGUCAGGGGUGAAAUCCUGGAGCUCAACUCCAGAACUGCCUUUGAUACUGGCGAUCUCGAGUCCGGGAGAGGUGAGUGGAACUGCGAGUGUAGAGGUGAAAUUCGUAGAUAUUCGCAAGAACACCAGUGGCGAAGGCGGCUCACUGGCCCGGUACUGACGCUGAGGCGCGAAAGCGUGGGGAGCAAACAGG
rnacentral:rRNA from 1 species